GGGUUGUGAGGUUAAGCGACUAAGCGUACACGGUGGAUGCCCUGGCAGUCAGAGGCGAUGAAGGACGUGCUAAUCUGCGAUAAGCGUCGGUAAGGUGAUAUGAACCGUUAUAACCGGCGAUUUCCGAAUGGGGAAACCCAGUGUGAUUCGUCACACUAUCAUUAACUGAAUCCAUAGGUUAAUGAGGCGAACCGGGGGAACUGAAACAUCUAAGUACCCCGAGGAAAAGAAAUCAACCGAGAUUCCCCCAGUAGCGGCGAGCGAACGGGGAGCAGCCCAGAGCCUGAAUCAGUGUGUGUGUUAGUGGAAGCGUCUGGAAAGGCGCGCGAUACAGGGUGACAGCCCCGUACACAAAAAUGCACAUGCUGUGAGCUCGAUGAGUAGGGCGGGACACGUGGUAUCCUGUCUGAAUAUGGGGGGACCAUCCUCCAAGGCUAAAUACUCCUGACUGACCGAUAGUGAACCAGUACCGUGAGGGAAAGGCGAAAAGAACCCCGGCGAGGGGAGUGAAAAAGAACCUGAAACCGUGUACGUACAAGCAGUGGGAGCACGCUUAGGCGUGUGACUGCGUACCUUUUGUAUAAUGGGUCAGCGACUUAUAUUCUGUAGCAAGGUUAACCGAAUAGGGGAGCCGAAGGGAAACCGAGUCUUAACUGGGCGUUAAGUUGCAGGGUAUAGACCCGAAACCCGGUGAUCUAGCCAUGGGCAGGUUGAAGGUUGGGUAACACUAACUGGAGGACCGAACCGACUAAUGUUGAAAAAUUAGCGGAUGACUUGUGGCUGGGGGUGAAAGGCCAAUCAAACCGGGAGAUAGCUGGUUCUCCCCGAAAGCUAUUUAGGUAGCGCCUCGUGAAUUCAUCUCCGGGGGUAGAGCACUGUUUCGGCAAGGGGGUCAUCCCGACUUACCAACCCGAUGCAAACUGCGAAUACCGGAGAAUGUUAUCACGGGAGACACACGGCGGGUGCUAACGUCCGUCGUGAAGAGGGAAACAACCCAGACCGCCAGCUAAGGUCCCAAAGUCAUGGUUAAGUGGGAAACGAUGUGGGAAGGCCCAGACAGCCAGGAUGUUGGCUUAGAAGCAGCCAUCAUUUAAAGAAAGCGUAAUAGCUCACUGGUCGAGUCGGCCUGCGCGGAAGAUGUAACGGGGCUAAACCAUGCACCGAAGCUGCGGCAGCGACACUAUGUGUUGUUGGGUAGGGGAGCGUUCUGUAAGCCUGUGAAGGUGUACUGUGAGGUAUGCUGGAGGUAUCAGAAGUGCGAAUGCUGACAUAAGUAACGAUAAAGCGGGUGAAAAGCCCGCUCGCCGGAAGACCAAGGGUUCCUGUCCAACGUUAAUCGGGGCAGGGUGAGUCGACCCCUAAGGCGAGGCCGAAAGGCGUAGUCGAUGGGAAACAGGUUAAUAUUCCUGUACUUGGUGUUACUGCGAAGGGGGGACGGAGAAGGCUAUGUUGGCCGGGCGACGGUUGUCCCGGUUUAAGCGUGUAGGCUGGUUUUCCAGGCAAAUCCGGAAAAUCAAGGCUGAGGCGUGAUGACGAGGCACUACGGUGCUGAAGCAACAAAUGCCCUGCUUCCAGGAAAAGCCUCUAAGCAUCAGGUAACAUCAAAUCGUACCCCAAACCGACACAGGUGGUCAGGUAGAGAAUACCAAGGCGCUUGAGAGAACUCGGGUGAAGGAACUAGGCAAAAUGGUGCCGUAACUUCGGGAGAAGGCACGCUGAUAUGUAGGUGAAGUCCCUCGCGGAUGGAGCUGAAAUCAGUCGAAGAUACCAGCUGGCUGCAACUGUUUAUUAAAAACACAGCACUGUGCAAACACGAAAGUGGACGUAUACGGUGUGACGCCUGCCCGGUGC
rnacentral:rRNA from 1 species